UACGUAGGGUGCGAGCGUUGUCCGGAAUUAUUGGGCGUAAAGAGCUUGUAGGCGGUUUGUCGCGUCUGCUGUGAAAAUCCGGGGCUCAACCCCGGACUUGCAGUGGGUACGGGCAGACUAGAGUGUGGUAGGGGAGACUGGAAUUCCUGGUGUAGCGGUGGAAUGCGCAGAUAUCAGGAGGAACACCGAUGGCGAAGGCAGGUCUCUGGGCCACUACUGACGCUGAGAAGCGAAAAGCAUGGGGAGCGAACAGGAUAGAACCGAAGAAGUCAGAC
rnacentral:rRNA from 1 species